UACGUAGGGGGCAAGCGUUGUCCGGAUUUAUUGGGCGUAAAGAGCGUGUAGGCGGCCGCACAGGUCCGUUGUGAAAACUGGAGGCUUAACCUUCAGACGUCGAUGGAAACCGUGCGGCUAGAGUCCGGAAGAGGAGAAUGGAAUUCCUGGUGUAGCGGUGAAAUGCGCAGAUAUCAGGAAGAACACCCGUGGCUAAGGCGGUUCUCUAGUACGGUACUGACGCUGAGACGCGAAAGCGUGGGUAGCAAACAGG
rnacentral:rRNA from 1 species